GAUGAACGCUGGCGGCGUGCUUAACACAUGCAAGUCGAACGGUGAAGCCAAGCUUGCUUGGUGGAUCAGUGGCGAACGGGUGAGUAACACGUGAGCAACCUGCCCUGGACUCUGGGAUAAGCGCUGGAAACGGCGUCUAAUACUGGAUAUGAGCCCCUUCCGCAUGGUGGGGGUUGGAAAGAUUUUUUGGUCUGGGAUGGGCUCGCGGCCUAUCAGCUUGUUGGUGAGGUAAUGGCUCACCAAGGCGUCGACGGGUAGCCGGCCUGAGAGGGUGACCGGCCACACUGGGACUGAGACACGGCCCAGACUCCUACGGGAGGCAGCA
rnacentral:rRNA from 1 species